UUGCCGAAGGCGGCUGGAAGGGGCAUCCCCUGGGCUGAGGCGGGAGCUUUCCACCGGUGAGGGCCGUAGCAGCAGGUGUUGCGGCAAGGCCAGAGCGGCGGAGGUGGGUGUCCAUGCGAGGCCUGGCGCUGCCCGGUGGGAGCGGGGCCGUAUGCGUGUGUGAAUGGCCCAGCCGGGUCUGGCCGUGUAUGAGCUCGGGGUUGUGUAGAGGGUAACAUGAGUAAACGAUUAGAGCUCUGGCUCAAAGCCGGUUGUUUUGAUACGGGUAUAAAAGCGGGACCCACAUGUGGCCAUGAGAGAAGCCUUACCUGUGUGUGGAUGCACCAUGUCAGAAUUUUUCCAAUUACCUGUGAUGCUUGGCAUCGGCUGCAACACGGCUUCCCAGCUGGAAGUGUGGGCCUGGGUGAUGACUCAUUGGUGCCUGGUGCGAAACGAAACACAGGAUAUCAUUCGUGGGAGCAGUACAGCCUUGGGAACAGCAAUACCUCGUCUCUGUAUAUCGUGGGACAAGGACAGCACCUGGCAAUGUCAGAAACCAGAGUUGAUGGAGGCAAGUUACUUAUGAACAUGUUCCUGAGACAUGCUGGAGUAAUUGGAAUGGGAGUGACGUUUCCACCUCAGGCCUGAGAUGCAAUGGGUUUGAUGCCAAAAGAGUCUCCUUCAAAACCGACUCAGACACCUUCAUCUUUCGACCCCAAAGUUUCACACCCAAGAAAUGAGCCGAGGACAUGGUGAAAACCAAAGUAAUGGGUCAGGCCGAGACACAAGGGGAUCAAAUGGGAGGAGCAGAGGAUCCAUCAAUCCCACAAGACACCAUAAUGACAUCACUAUUAAAACCAUCCUCACCUCCUCCAAAGACUCAAAAACCAGUAAUUGUGCAGCCAAAUCUCCACAAUCAAGAAACAACAAAAACACCACAUGGACAUCUCUGGCAGCCAAAGCGGUACCCUCGUUUGGAAAACGAGCAAGAUGUCAGCUGUCUUGAGCUGGACACUGAUUGCCCUUGGCACGUUACUGGUAAGCUUCUUGUUUAUAAAAAUUCUCAAAAUACUGAAGAAUCUUAACUCAUGGUUAACUCUCUGUUUUCCCAUGGAAAGAAUGCCCUGUCCUUUCCAAGGUAUUGUGAACCAAACCUCGUGCAUUAUGUCAGAUUGUGCCCAUGGACAUGUCAAGUAUUUUUCUGGAUGUGUCUCAGGCUUUUUAUCAUCUUCUUCUGCAUCCUCUUAGCGCUACUGGGCUCUGCAUUUCUAAUGGACAACUGGUCUAUUUCAGAAAAGCUGCAAUGGGUGUCAGUCUUAGCCCUUUUCUGCUUCAUCUCUUCAGCACUGCCCUUGCAACCAGAACUGCUGGGCACUUCAGUAUUUGGGGUUUUGCUUAUAUGGACAAAUUCCUCCUCUGCCACCCAAGUUGUCACUAGCUUACUUCAGUUAGCAGUGCUGUCUGCGCUUUCCUUCAACUAGUAGGAGUUUGAAUAAACUACUAUAAACAUACUCCUUCUCCUGUAAAUGAAAUAAAAUUUCUGGGAUACCUAAUCAAGGAAAACUUUCUCAUACUCACUCCUUUAGAAAUAGGAGCUAGAAAAUGGCAAUUUUCAUUUUAGUUUAACCCUUCCCAUAACUAUUCUGGCAUUCAAGCCAGCCUUUCAGCAUUACUUGAAUUUCUGCUGCUUUCAUUCCUCACUAAUAAUGAGGGAAGAAAUUAUGCCUGUGUUGUGUAAAGUGAACACCUCUAGGUAGGCACUUUACCCUGAUCCUAACAUGAAUGCCCAGGCAAAGUCUCCAUUUCCCAGCUAAGAAUGCUAUCCGUUUAAGUAACAGUUUCAGCUUGUACAAUUAAAGUUUAGAAGAAGGUCAUUCUGGGUUACUCAGGUCUUAAAUAUAGCCUUCCUACCAAAAGCCUGACUCCAUCAGACUCUGAAAGGAUUUCCUCCAAUUCCAGAGACUGUUUUACCAUGACCAUUCCUGUCAAGGUUGAUUCAUACCAGAAAUCUUACCCAAAAGUCACAUCAAAACACUUUGUUUAGGUGUCACCCUCCAGUGAGCAACAUAGUCUUCACCAGUGUGCCUUCUCCCUGGCUCAAGCAAUCGUUUUCCAUGCUUCCUGCCACAAACAAAACCUUUAUCUGUGGCCAGUGACUGAGGUGGGAUACUGCUGGAUUUAUGAAGGAAUGACAGAGAGAUAGAUACAUGGUGAGGUUUGAACAUUAAAGCCAUUGUGGUUUCAUGUAUCAGCAGUGGAAGACAGGACAAGCUCCUAUUUCUGGAUCCAGUACAAGCUUGCUCUGGUAUCUUUAGCACCAUGGACUGCCACACAUGUCCCUGCUAACUAUUUAGACUCUUAGGGAAGAAUGGAGAUUCUUACCUCUACAGGAGAUUGUUAGCGAUUACUGUUAACCCACUGGGAUUCUGAUCUUAGUUGGAGAAGCUAAAAAUUGUUACAGUACAAAUAAAUAUAAACAUUUUCAUCAUA